AUGGUGUUCAAUGUUCAUCCCUCGGCUUGAAGAGAUCAUGAUUGGAGCUUUUAAUUUGCCAAAAUUCAAGUUUCCAUAUCUUAAUUAUUCUCUGUGAAGCAUGAUUUAGAUAACAUCUGGAGUUUUCUCCCUAACAUGUUUAUCGAAAACAUUAGUGUGGCAAUUUCGACGCUCAUAUGCACUCCAAACUGAAUAUUUUACUACUUUCUCUUCACUCAUAGGAGUAUAGGGGGCUAAAGAACGAGCUUUAAAUUGCUAGCCUAAAAUUAUUGGAUGCGUACCAUGUUGAUGCUAGAUUAAGAUUGCUUUACUUUUCCAGUAAUCUAAUCCUGCUUAUAUUUUAAUUUAGAGAUUGGUUGAGCUGCAGACAUAGAGAGCAGGUAGACCUAAACAAUGCAACUACUUUACAGGAUCAUGACAUGCACCAUGGAUGGCCCCUAGGGCUUGAGAUUAUGAACGUGAGACUUAGAGUGGUGGAGAGCUUACCAGCUGCAGUUGUAGGGCGCCGGUCCUCGCACUUGCCCUCCGCCAGUUUCACCUCCUUCUCGUCCUCCAACCUUGACACCGAGUCCUCAGCAUCCUUCUUCCAAGACCACAGCACGUCACUAGGCCGUCUGAUUGGGCUUCGAACGGGUGAUAGAGGACGUUUGUACUUACCAAAUUCCAUUCGCUUCGAAGAGCACGAGAGGAUUUCGAUUAGGGGUUCGCAUUCUGAGGUGUCUACGAGACAUCGAGUAGACAUGUCUCGGCGUAUCUGCAUACCGUUGCUGCUUUGUGCUCUAGUAAAGAUCAGCAGGAGUAAGAACAAGAGCAAGUCAAAGAAGGCAAAGUUUGAUGGCAGAGGCUAAUUUCUACACUUCCAUACGAUGAGAAAUAAAUUUCACUUCCUUAUUAUCGUGCCAAAUUUCUGUAGCCAUUUGUGUACUGAGUUAUUCGUUGCGACUCCAUAUUUUAUACAGUUGACAUGUUGAUUGAGAGUCCCGAUGAA